GACGAACGCUGGCGGCGUGCUUAACACAUGCGAGUCGAACGGAAAGGCCCUGCUUUUGUGGGGUGCUCGAGUGGCGGACGGGUGAGUAACACGUGAGUAACCUGCCCUUGACUUUGGGAUAACUUCAGGAAACUGGGGCUAAUACCGGAUAGGAGCUCCUGCUGCAUGGUGGGGGUUGGAAAGUUUCGGCGGUUGGGGAUGGACUCGCGGCUUAUCAGCUUGUUGGUGGGGUAGUGGCUUACCAAGGCUUUGACGGGUAGCCGGCCUGAGAGGGUGACCGGCCACAUUGGGACUGAGAUACGGCCCAGACUCCUACGGGAGGCAGCAGUGGGGAAUAUUGCACAAUGGGCGGAAGCCUGAUGCAGCAACGCCGCGUGCGGGAUGACGGCCUUCGGGUUGUAAACCGCUUUCGCCUGUGACGAAGCGUGAGUGACGGUAAUGGGUAAAGAAGCACCGGCUAACUACGUG
rnacentral:rRNA from 1 species